AUUGAACGCUGGCGGCAGGCUUAACACAUGCAAGUCGAGCGGAGAGAGGUAGCUUGCUACUGAUCUUAGCGGCGGACGGGUGAGUAAUGCUUAGGAAUCUGCCUAUUAGUGGGGGACAACAUUUCGAAAGGAAUGCUAAUACCGCAUACGUCCUACGGGAGAAAGCAGGGGAUCUUCGGACCUUGCGCUAAUAGAUGAGCCUAAUUCGGAUUAGCUAGUUGGGGGGGUAAAGGCCUACCAAGGCGCCGAUCUGUAGCGGGUCUGAGAGGAUGAUCCGCCACACUGGGACUGGGACACGGCCCAGACUCCUACGGGAGGCAGCAGUGGGGAAUAUUGGACAAUGGGCGGAAGCCUGAUCCAGCCAUGCCGCGUGUGUGAAGAAGGCCUUAUGGUUGUAAAGCACUUUAAGCGAGGAGGAGGCUACUUUAGUUAAUACCUAGAGAUAGUGGACGUUACUCGCAGAAUAAGCACCGGCUAACUCUGUGCCAGCCGCCGCGGUAA
rnacentral:rRNA from 1 species